CUUGGGUAAGGAAUAACGUAGAGAAAUUUGCGCUAAUACCUUAUAAUGACUUCGGUCCAAAGAUUUAUCGCCCAAGAAUGAGCCCGCGCCUGAUUAGUUUGUUGGUGAGGUAAAAGCUCACCAAGACGACGAUCAGUAGCUGGUCUGAGAGGAUGAUCAGCCACACUGGAACUGAGACACGGUCCAGACUCCUACGGGAGGCAGCAGUGAGGAAUAUUGCGCAAUGGGGGAAACCCUGACGCAGCCAUGCCGCGUGAGUGACGAAGGCCCUAGGGUUGUAAAGCUCUUUCAGAUGCGAAGAUAAUGACGGUAACAUCAGAAGAAGCUCCGGCUAAAUUCGUGCCAGCAGCCGCGGUAAUACGAAUGGAGCGAGCGUUGUUCGGAAUCACUGGGCGUAAAGCGUAUGUAGGCGGGACAGAAAGUCAGAAGUGAAAUCCCAGGGCUCAACCCUGGAAUUGCUUUUGAAACUUCUGUUCUUGAGUCCCGGAGGGGCCAGCGGAAUUCCGAGUGUAGAGGUGAAAUUCGCAGAUAUUCGGAGGAACACCAGUGGCGUAGGCGGCUGGCUGGAC
rnacentral:rRNA from 1 species